AACAGGCUUCAGUGCUCAACAUGCCAACAUGCUUGGAAAUUCUUCAAUACCAUGACCUCUAAAAGCCCAGCUAAUUUAGUGAAAAGAGAAACAAGGGUCCUGCAUACCAAUGAAACUGCUGACAUCAGCUGAUCUGAAUGACCCAACAAAAAGCUUACAUACACAAAGAAUGCAGUUUUCACAUCCUAAUCAUUUCAUUCUCCUUACCCUGACCAAUCAAUGAUCCCAAUUUGCCAGUCCCAUACCCUCCACAAUUUUCUUAAAAACCCCAGAUCAGUAUAUUCCUUGGGGAGAUGGAUUUUGGUGUUUUCUGCCAUCUCCUUGCUUGGCUGUCCUGUGAUCUUUAAACACUUUUUCUGCUGCAACCCUGCUGUCUCAGUGUACGGAUAUGUUACUGUGCAGAGGGCAUAUGAAGCUGUUGGUCCUAUAAUAUUAUGAUGGCAUUAGUGGCCUUAUAAGAAUUAGAAGAGAAGCCAGGCACAUUCGCACGCACCUGUAGUCCCAGCUACUCAGGAGGCUGAGGCAGGAGGAUUGCUUGAGCCCAGGAGUUUAAGGCUGCAGUGUGCUUUGAUCAUUUCUUUGAGUAGCCACUGUACUCUAGCCUGAGCAACAUAGCAAGAUCCCAUCUCUAUCAAAGCAGGAAUUGGAAGAGAGAGAGAGAUAUAAAUUUUUUCUCUGCCUAUGCACACUCAUAGGAAAAGUCAUGUGAGGACAUAGCAAGAAGGCAGCUACCUGAAAUCAAGGAAGAGAGUGCUCACAAGAAUCCAAUCAUGCUGGCAGCCUGAUCUUGACACUGUAGACUCAAGAACAGUAAAGAAAAUAAAUAUUUCUGUUAUUGAAGCCACUUGGUUUAUGGUGUUUUAUUAUGGCAGCCCAAGCUGACUAAGACAUUCACUAUAAAAGGACAAUUAUGUAUUGGACAGUAUCAUUAAUAUAGAUGUAUAAGGAAGAAUUGGGCAAUGAAUACAUUAAUGACAGGACAUAAGAAUGAUGAUGAGACAUUUGAAUAAGAAAGAUAAUAUUACUUGCAGGACAGAAGAAAAAAACAGAGCCAGAAAGAAACGUGAAACAUAGGUGAGAAUGAACCUCUUCUUGGUGAUAAAAAUGGGUAAUAUAAAUAAUUUGAAGAGGUGUUUAUAUCUAUUUAGAUGAUAUUGAAAGUGACAGAGAUACUGAUGGAUGUUUUGCUGUGCAUAAAGAAUAUAUGUGUCUUCUUUUG
rnacentral:lncRNA from 10 species